GAUGAAGAACGCAGCGAAAUGCGAUAAGUAAUGUGAAUUGCAGAAUUCAGUGAAUCAUCGAAUCUUUGAACGCACAUUGCGCCCCCUGGUAUUCCGGGGGGCAUGCCUGUUCGAGCGUCAUUUCACCACUCAAGCCUCGCUUGGUAUUGGGCAACGCGGUCCGCCGCGUGCCUCAAAUCGACCGGCUGGGUCUUCUGUCCCCUAAGCGUUGUGGAAACUAUUCGCUAAAGGGUGUUCGGGAGGCUACGCCGUAAAACAACCCCAUUUCUAAGGUUGACCUCGGAUCAGGUAGGGAUACCCGCUGAACUUAAGCAUAUCAAAAGCGAGGA
rnacentral:misc_RNA from 1 species